rnacentral:ncRNA from 1 species
AGGUUAUUGAAAAAGUGUCAGCGGCGGUGAAAACAGGCGGAUCAUAAAGACGCCGUAAAAUCAUCCUUGAUGGCUCGAGCCGCGCCAUCCGUGGCGCGGACGCUUU